rnacentral:rRNA from 1 species
GCGGCGAGCGAACGCGGAUUAGCCCAAACCAAUAAAGUUUUCUUUAUUGGGGUUGCGGACAUAUCAUAACGAAGAGGUAUCGUAAUUGAAGAGGUUUGGAAAGAUCCACCACAGAAGGUAAUAGUCCUGUAUGUUAAACGAGAAGACUUUAGAUAUGAUCCAGAGUACCACGGGACACGUGAAACCCUGUGGGAAGCAGGAGGGACC